AUUGAAACAAGAUGUUUCUCAAAUACAAGAUCAGUUGGCAGUAUCUACUCAAGAGCAUUUUUUCUUUUUGUCCAAACUGAAUAAUGACGUGGACAUGCUUUGUGAUGCUUUGUAUCGUGGAGGGAAUCAGCUAUUGCUUUGUGAUCAGGAGUUAAUAGAGCACUUUCAUCAAGUUGAAUCUCAGUUGAAUAAACUAAAGCAUCUCCUUACUGAUAUUCUCGCUGAUGUGAAGACAAAAAGAAGAACUUUGACAACUGAUAAAUUGCUUCAAGUAGAAAGAGAAUUAUAUGUAUAUUUUUUUAAAGAUGAAGACUAUCUAAAAGAUGCUGUGGAAAAUUUAGAAAACCAGUUAAAGAUUAAGGCCUCGGGUCUUAAAGACUGAAGACUUCUAAAAACAGAAUCUUUACUAUGCCUGCUGUGUUUUAAAGUACUGGACUAUAUCUAAUAAACUACUUUUUUGUUUGUACUUA